rnacentral:tRNA from 1 species
GUAGAUCUGCAGGUGGAUUGCUGACGGACGCGGGUUCGAUUCCCGCCGGCUCCACCA